GAUUGUUGUGCCGUUCAUGGUUUGUCAAUGUGCCACGCUUCCAGAGCUUUACCUAGUUUAGCUUGCCAGCUUGACAUUUCUGUUGUUUAGUUUGUUUGUCUGCCUGCCUGCUCACAAUACGGUAUCUUACGCCUUGCUCUCUUCUCUCCUGGAUAACCUGCCUGCCUUGUCUAUUUGCAGAGCCAAGCAGCUCUCACCUCUAAAUUCCCUCUGCCAAGCUUUCUCCCCUGGAUCCCCUUUCUCUCACCUCAGCCAGCCUCCAUUUCACCUUACUGUUAAUAAAGAGACUUGUUUUUCACCUACCAGCCUGUCCAGCGUCCGCAUUUAGGUUCAGCCUCACAAUCAGUGACCUGUAUUACUGUGUCCUGACCUGUUUGGGGCUCUGCAGAAUCUCCUGCGUGGUCGUGGUGGCCAGGAUGGCUCUGUUGCUUCCAGGACUGAGCUGAAGGCUCAUGGAGAGGCCCGUCACCAGCUGGACCCCCAGCUCUGUGAUGGUCACUUUGUCAUCCACCACAGUGAUGGUCUUCUCUGCCAGGAUGGAGUCUGACAAAGGAGACAACACCUAGGAGGUGCGAAGACGGUAGAGAAAGAAAAGAGGCAGAAAAUGAUUACAACUGUGACAUUAAAGGAAUUUUAAAAGGAAAAGGGCUGAGGAGAUGUUUCCCAGGAGAAAUCAGCAGCGACAGCAACUGUAGCCGAACACAAAAAAAAGAGCACUACUUGGAGAAACUUCAUCAACAAAAACUUCAAGCAGAAGUAACAACACUGGUCACAUCGCUUGACUGACAAGGCAUUCCUGGCAGGUGGAAUGCAAAAACAUCCCAUCAAUAAGCACUUAGCAGUGAAGAUGUCACAGACAUGAAAAAAAAGCGGAUUACCACGAGUUACAGGCUGUGUAGAUCAAACAACUGGACUUGGCUGCCAUCCAGCCCCAAUACCUCCUGCAGGAAGUCCCACACCAGCUCUGUGAUGUCCGCCUGCCAAUCGGUGCCCAGCAUGAAGCUGGUUUGGCCUCGAGGAUCAGCUGACUCAGCUACAAAAUGGGUUAGGACUCUGACCAUGGCAUGUUGGUACUGCAGGGUGCAGCUUCGCCCUCGUCUGUCUUCAUCAUCCUCAUCCUCGCUGUCCCGUGUGGACCUUGCAAUAAAAAAAGAAU